rnacentral:tRNA from 1 species
GGCGGUGUGGCCGAGUGGUAAAGGCGCCGGACUGUAAAUCCGGUGGUUCAUCCGUGUGGGUUCGAUUCCUUCCACCGCCA